AGAGAAUAGAUACCCCGGUAGUCCACGCCGUAAACGAUGGAUGCUAGCUGUUAUAGGUAUCGACCCCUGUAGUAGCGAAAGCUAACGCGUUAAGCAUCCCGCCUGUGGAGUACGGUCGCAAGACUAAAACAUAAAGGAAUUGACGGGGACCCGCACAAGCGGUGGAGCGUGUUGUUUAAUUCGAUGGUAAACGAAGAACCUUACCCAGGUUUGACAUCCUUGGAAUUUCUCCGAAAGGAGAGAGUGCUUUAUUGAACCAAGUGACAGGUGAUGCAUGGCCGUCGUCAGCUCGUGUCGUGAGAUGUUUGGUUAAGUCCAUCAACGAGCGCAACCCUUGUGAUUAGUUGUAAUUUUUCUAAUCAGACUGCCCUGGUAACAGGGAGGAAGGAGGGGAUGAUGUCAGGUCAGUAUUUCCCUUACAUCUGGGGCUACAAGCACGCUACAAUGGCCGAUACAAAGGGCAGCCAAGUCGCGAGACGGAGCAAAUCCCAUCAAAGCCGGUCUCAGUUCGGAUUGCAGGCUGAAACUCGCCUGCA
rnacentral:rRNA from 1 species